AACCUUAUGGACCUGCGGGCGUAUACCUGCGGAGGGAUCAUUAUUGAGAUUAUUUUGACUUUUGUCAAAGUUUCUCUACCCAUUGAUUUUAUACAAAUGUAUAAGAAUUUUAGCUUCGGUGAGACGAUUUGGGAAACCAAACGAUUGGUAUUUACAAAAGUAAUUACUGAUCUGUGCUUACCGAUAGCAUAUAAACUCAAUAAAAUUUGUAUUUGUCUGAGACUAUAAUAAAAAAUAAAU
rnacentral:misc_RNA from 1 species